rnacentral:rRNA from 1 species
GAUGAACGCUGGCGGCGUGCCUAAUACAUGCAAGUCGAGCGAAUGGAUUAAGAGCUUGCUCUUAUGAAGUUAGCGGCGGACGGGUGAGUAACACGUGGGUAACCUGCCCAUAAGACUGGGAUAACUCCGGGAAACCGGGGCUAAUACCGGAUAACAUUUUGAACCGCAUGGUUCGAAAUUGAAAGGCGGCUUCGGCUGUCACUUAUGGAUGGACCCGCGUCGCAUCAGCUAGUUGGUGAGGUAACGGCUCACCAAGGCAACGAGUCGUAGCCGACCUGCGAGGUGGAUCGGCCACACUGGGACUGAGACACGGCCCAGAAUCCUACGGGAGGCAGCAGUAGGGAGUAUUCCGCGAUGGACGAAAGUCUGACGGAGCAACGCCGCGUGAGUGAUGAAGGAUUUCGGGUCGUAAAACUCUGUUGUUAGGGAAGAACAAGUGCUAGUUGAAUAAGCUGGCACCUUGACGGUACCUAACCAGAAAGCCACGGCUAACUACGUGCCAGCAGCCGCAGUAA